GAAAGAAUGGCUUCUCACUUUGUCUUUAGAAAGGAACAGGCUGUCAUUAAUGAUAAAAAUAAGGAAGAGAACCCCCUAAUUGGAAAGAAACCAAAACCACCUGUGACCCUGUGCAAGGGGACACCACUGCUGUGCUUGAACAUCAGCUGACCAGACUUUCCCAGGGGUGGGGCAGAGGCAGAGGAGCUAGGAAAGUGUCUUAGAAGUCAGGGGAUGGCCAUAUUGCAAGAAAUGCAAAACUGCAGCAGUUUGCUCACAGGCUGAUGGGAAGCAGCGCCCUGCCUCCAGUUCUGUCACUCAGGAGAUGUGUGACCCCGGCACCAGGAAAUUCCAUACAACCAGGUCACCUGUAAAAGGCCAGGUACCCUGUUUAGGAAACACCACUCGUGAGCUGUUUGAACCAUGCUGUGGGUCCAGCCUCCCCAUGACAUGACUGUUGUCACAAGCUCAAGGGUGCAGCCCAGAGGAUCCAACCUGUAGUGAUCUGAAGAUGGCUGAGACUAUGAUGUCUCCAAGCAAGCAGAUGAGCAGCAGACAGAAAUCAGUGCUAUCCUUGAACAUUGGAAAAUGCAUGGGUCAUGGUCUCCAGGACAUCUCCAUUAAACUCACCAGCCUGAUUGACAGAGAGAGCUGGCACAGCCUAACAGGGGUUUCUAACUGAAAAGGCAAAGCAGGAAGAACAUUCUAUUCCUACCCUCCUCCACCCAGGACUUCCCUAAAGACUUAGUCAGCUCACCAGGUGGGGCUAGAAGUGGGCUAAAGGCUG